rnacentral:lncRNA from 1 species
UGAGGUAGCCUGAAGAUAAGGUACUGGAUCAAUUCAGGCAGUGGGUGAGUAUCAGGCUAAGGGAGCCAGCCAGACCUGUGUCUAUAUAGCAGUCCCUUUCCUUCUAUAUAACUUUAAUUGCCUCACUUAACCUUACUAAGCCUCAAUUUCCUGCUCUGCAAAAUGAGGGCAGUCAUCAUGCCUACCCCAAGACGAUUGAGAUGAUGUAAUAUUCUGAAUAUGAAUUGAGGUGGGGAACAUUUUAUUUUCUUUGAAGUUGGUACAAGAGAGAGCCUCUGAUGUGAAAAGAACACCUUGAUUAGCUCACUUGGGGUUCAGCACCAGGGCCUGGGUAUCAACUGUAUCCAGGCUUCAGAGGCAGACAGAAACUGCACACAAAGGAAAGGAAGAAGAAAUGGGAAGGGCGGUGGGAGUAGGGACUGUGUGGUCAGGAGAUGGUGACAGAAGGAAAGGGCAAAUAAUAUGGGCAAUGGUGUGCAGGCACUCUUCCAAGUGACCUUUCCCCCCAAAUCUUCCAGAGUCUGAAACACUCAAGAACUGCCUGGUGAAGUGGUAUUCUUCAUGGACACUCGAUCCUUGAAUUCAACUGGCAUAGGUCCCAGAGACAGGCGACAGGGGAGGGGAACCCUGUAACUCUUGCAGAAGGAAAGUAUCCAAUAGGAAAGACAAUCUAACCAUGAAAAAGGAACUCAGGAAACAAAAAACAUGUAGAACAGAAGAAAAUUCUUUUUAAAAACAAACUCGGGGAGGACUCAAGAUGGCGCUGUGAGAACAACCCAGGAUUGGAGCUCUCCUUGAAUCCGCGGAGAGGGACAUGGAUGAAUCUGGAGAACAUCAUCCUCAGCAAACUGACACAAGAACAGAAAAUGAAACACCGCAUAUUCUCACUCAUAGGUGG